GACAGAGGUCCCGAGCGUUAGGCGGAAUCACUGGGCUUAAAGCGUGUGUAGGCGGAUCGUUAAGUACCUUGUGAAAUCCCACGGCUUAACCGUGGAACUGCUUGGUAUACUGGCGAUCUUGAGCCACUUAGGGGCUACCGGAACAAAUGGUGGAGCGGUGAAAUGCGUAGAUAUCAUUUGGAACGCCAAUGGUGAAAACAGGUAGCUAGGAGUGUGCUGACGCUGAGACACGAAAGCCAGGGGAGCAAACGGG
rnacentral:rRNA from 1 species